ACUUUUCAGAUGUCUCUCUCUCUCUCUCUCUCUAAGAGCUGCUCUCCUCUCUCCUUUCUUCUAUCUAUUAAAUUUUCCACUCCCUAACCCACCCACAUGUGAUUGUGUCCUGAAUUCUUGGUGUGUGACGAUGAACCCCAGGGUGUAUACCCCAGACAGCACAGCCACUUCACCAGCAGGGACAGCAGCUGUCACAUGAACUGGAGAUGAACUGGAGCCUUGCAGGAGCCUUGGUUGUCUAAGGGGAGUAACCUGGGGAAAGAUCCCAAGUGCAGGAUUUAUCAUCACAAACACAAUGGAAAGGGAAGCCAGCUCCCACACACCCAAGGCAGCACGAAGCCUGUUCUUCAGAAGGAACCCUGCCCUCUCUCGGCUCCAGUCUCUCCAUGGGAAGCUCUGGGCUCCCCAGCAGUGUCCACUGGCUGGCCCUGUAACUGCAGCCCAGUCUUGUCUUCUCUAAAGAACAGCAUCACUGUGUCAUGCAAAAUCCUCCAACACUUUGACUAUGUCCUACCACAACAAACCUACAACAUAUGUACUUGGCUUUCCAGAUUUCUCAUAACAUAGCUCUGCCCUGCCUAUUCGUAAGCAUUUCCCAAUAUUUCCCCAAACCCACUGGGGCCACUUGGGCUUGGCAGUGCAUCGUCUUCCCCAUGAUCACGCCCUGAUGCACCUGCCUGAAUGUCGCCCAGCGAGUGGCUUGCAUUUCCCAAGGGAUCAGACCCGUCCUGUCUCCCUACUGAAAUCCUUCCCCAAAGACCUUCACUGACAUUGCCAUGACCCAGGGAACUCCCUCAGCAUGGAAUUUCUUGGCCAUUUGUAUUUUUGACUCCAGGGCUUCAUGUUAAGUCACUGUGUUUGCUCAUCACCUUUUUUAAAGAAGACCCUGCCCAUCACCCUUUCAACCUCCACCUUGCUUAAUUUGUCUUCAUAGCAUUUAUCAUUAACUUAAAUUAACUUACAUAGUUAUUUAGUAAUUUUCUCAUGAUCCUAGUGAUAGAUAUAUCCCAUGACGGCCUGUACUUUGUUUAUAUUGUAAACAAAAUGUGUCCCCAUUGUCUAUAUCUGCAUGGAAAACAAGAACACAAUUAACCACAAA
ensembl:lncRNA LINC00370 long intergenic non-protein coding RNA 370